rnacentral:rRNA from 1 species
UACGGGGGGGGCAAGCGUUGUUCGGAAUUACUGGGCGUAAAGGGCGCGUAGGCGGUUGGAUAAGUCAGCUGUGAAAACCACGGGCUUAACUCGUGGCCUGCAGUUGAGACUGUCUGGCUUGAGUGUGGGAGAGGAGAGUGGAAUUCCUGGUGUAGCGGUGAAAUGCGUAGAUAUCAGGAGGAACACCGAUGGCGAAGGCAGGUCUCUGGGCUGACACUGACGCUCAUGCACGAAAGCGUGGGGAGCAAACAGG